rfam:Burkholderiales bacterium 70-64 SCNpilot_expt_1000_bf_scaffold_430, whole genome shotgun sequence.
GUGAGGGUGACCGAGCGUGGGAAGGAAGCGUGGAGCGUAAACCGUGAGUCGAGGUACACGAACCGCAUCUGAGGCGGAGCCGGCCAGGGCGAGCAGGCAAGAGACUGCGAAGCUCUCGUGGCCAAGGGCCAGGCGACGUAAAUGCGGCGACUGUGCGGUGAAGGAGUGCGUUC